GAUGAACGCUGGCGGCGUGCUUAACACAUGCAAGUCGAACGAAGCUGUUGUUUGGAGACCUUCGGGUGGAAGAAUAACAGACUGAGUGGCGGACGGGUGAGUAACGCGUGGGUAACCUACCUUGCACAGGGGGACAACAGUUGGAAACGACUGCUAAUACCGCAUAAGACCACAGUACCGCAUGGUACAGGGGUAAAAACUGAGGUGGUGCAAGAUGGACCCGCGUCUGAUUAGCUAGUUGGUGGGGUAAAGGCCUACCAAGGCGACGAUCAGUAGCCGACCUGAGAGGGUGAUCGGCCACAUUGGGACUGAGACACGGCCCAAACUCCUACGGGAGGCAGCAGUGGGGAAUAUUGGACAAUGGGGGGAACCCUGAUCCAGCGACGCCGCGUGAGUGAAGAAGUAUUUCGGUAUGUAAAGCUCUAUCAGCAGGGAAGAAAAUGACGGUACCUGACUAAGAAGCCCCGGCUAACUACGUGCCAGCAGCCGCGGUAAUACGUAGGGGGCAAGCGUUAUCCGGAUUUACUGGGUGUAAAGGGAGCGCAGACGGCUUGGCAAGUCUGAAGUGAAAGCCCGGGGCUUAACCCCGGGACUGCUUUGGAAACUGUGAAGCUAGAGUGUCGGAGAGGUAAGUGGAAUUCCCAGUGUAGCGGUGAAAUGCGUAGAUAUUGGGAGGAACACCGGUGGCGAAGGCGGCUUACUGGACGAUAACUGACGUUGAGGCUCGAAGGCGUGGGGAGCAAACAGG
rnacentral:rRNA from 1 species